GUGCAUAAUGAGAACCUAAUGAAUGCUCUGAAAUGUAUAUCUUUGUAAACUUGUUGGUGCCUGAGACAGAAAUGACCAAGAUGCAUCAACAUAUACUCUCUGGAAAUUAGCAUGUGUGUUUCAGGUCAAUGAAUAAAGGUACUGGGUAAAGGUUUGAGAGGGAGUAAAAGGCAGUGUGUAUAAGUACUGUCUCAAGGGUUUCAGAUUGGAGAAUUGCUGUCAACAAAUGUUAGAAGGUAGGCUCACUUCAGAGAGUCCCAUCUUUAGAGAAAGAUUCCUUAGAUCUCAGGUCUUUUUAUUCAGCUCUUCAUUUACUCAUUCCACAAUUACUGAACUCUGUACUUUAGAAUCGAGGAAGUUAGGGCAAAUUCAGGAAGCUUUCUCUUGCCUUCAUUCAUCUGGAGUGAAGUUUGUUCUGCCCAAAGCAGGUUUCUGUGAAAUGGUCCUUGGAAACUCACUGUGACCACCCUGCUCAACACAUAGUUAAAGGAAAUGGAAGAGCCAUUAGUCAGCCUGCUCCACCUCAAGGUAAGAUUCAGCAUUAUAUUUGGACAUAAACCAUUGGCAAAUUUAGCUGAAAGAUCAUGACCUUUCCAACUCUGGUAGAGCCACCACCUGAUAGAUGAAUUCAGUUAUUUGCAGAAUAUAUAUCAAAAACACAGUCAGGAACAGCAAAGGUCUCUGCCAUUCUGAAAAGUGAAUAGUAUUCGUGAUUUUUAUUAUGAUUUUUUUAAUCAACAAUGGUAGCGGGAACAGCACAGGUGUGACUCUUAUCUCUAAUCAAAUUGAUUUGAUUAAUAUCUCAAUUAGGAACAUGACAAGUGAAGAGGUAUGGUCAGUUCAAGGAAUAUAGACAGAAAAUUUAAUCAAUAAUCUUAGAUAACCAGAGAAUAGUUCAAAUACAUUAAGUUCAAGGUAUAUAUUAAGUUCGAAGUAUAAUUCUAUGUCAUCCACACAGGUAAGUAAACAAUUGGCUGAAAAAACUCCAUAAAAUAAGGAUUACUAAAAAUGGCACACAUAUACCUUUAUAAAAAAGAAAGAAAAUACAGAAACAUGGGCUAAUUAUAUGGAGAAUUGAAAGUGUUCCUUUUCCAAGUUAAGUGAAGUCCUGACUAUAAGAAUUUUUUUAUCUAUGAAAAUGGAGGCAUGAGCUCAACAGGCUUUUGUAGUUGAGGACAAGUAAAUAAACCACUUUUAUACUGCCUGAGGCUCACACAGCAUUAUGACAUGUACUUCUUUAUGUCUAUUUGCACAGAUGUAAUUUUACAAUUAUUUGUGCAUUUUUACUGUACAUCUAACACUUCAGCUAAUCUGUAAAGUUCAAAAUGACAGUUUCCACUUUUGCUAAACAUUGCGUCCCAAGUAUGUAGCUCAACCUCUUGAGUGAAUGAAUACAUGAAUUAAUUAAUAGACCUAUUGUUCAUUGUUUGAGUUUCCAUAAUCUGAGAUUUACUGACUCAAAUGCUUGCAUUUGCAUUUAAUGCCCUUUGUCAGUUAUAAUUCUCAUUUUUAGUUAAUAAACUGGGACAUUUGAUUCUUCAAUUUUGGGGGGCUGAUUAAUGCGAAAUAGUGGUCCUGAGUCUGAUACGUGCAUGCACAAUGAGAUUUUUUUACUUCAGCUUGAGAAGCUGACGUUGGACUUAUGUUGACUUUACCAAUAUUCCUAUCUGGGGGCCUGUUUAGUGACCAACCUGCUCCUAAUGGUUUUAUCUUUUCCAUUCCUAUAAAGGCAUUAUCAUAAAUAAUAUCCACCUUUCAGAAUGGCAACUCUUACUCAAAUCACAUGCAGACAUCAAUAAAUGUCUCUCAUGUAUUUCCCAUGGUGAAUGUAAAAUUAAGUAUACAAUGCUUCAAUACUUUCCACUUUAAGUGAAUCAAUACUGAAUUCUAUCCACUAUCCAGUUAAUUUGUAUGAUCUAGUAAGAAGAAACAAUUUUUCUACAUUUAAAAUAUGUACUUUAAUAGAGCUGCAUCUGUAUCUAUAUCUAUAUAUUAAGCCCUUGCUCAUAACACAAAGAUAUUGCAAAGCAUAAUGGAAUAUGUCUCAAAAACACACAUGAGGAAAGUUUAUUUUGAUUUCGUUAGAUGAAAGUCAUAGACUAAAGAAUUUUAAUAUUCUUUUUCUUUCUUGCCAAAUUCAAUUUCAGAUUCAGAUUAGCUAAUAGUACCUACUAUGCAUCUGGCUCUAAGUGAAAGAAUUUUACAAGUGUUAUUUUGUUUAAAACGGAGAUAUUUCAUGGGGUACAAACAGGCUCCACAGAAAUUGUUUAACUUGUGAAUGUCAGAAAAUGAGCAGAGUGACAGGAUUUAAACAGAAAUCUCUCAGUCCAGGUAAGAAUAUGCCAUGUCUUUUUUUCCCUUGCCUUAAAUGGGUUGAUAUUACUAUCUACUUCAUUUAUAGUAUUGAGGAGUUAUGACAUCACUCUCAAUGGUGAUUGUAUUAGGCCAUUCUUGCAUUGCUAUAAAGAAUUUCUGAGAUGGGGUAAUUUAUAAAGGAAAAAAGUAUAAUUGGCUCACAGUUCUACAAGCUGUAUAGAAAGCAUUAUGCUGGCGUCUGCUCAGCUUCUAGGGAUGCCUCAGGAAACUUACAAUCAUGACAGAAGGUGAAGGAAGAGUGGACAUGUCACAUGACCAGAGCAUGGGCAAGAGAGAGAGAGAGGGAGGUGCCACACACUUUUAAACAGCCAGAUCUUGUGAGAACUCACUCACUAUCAUGAGAACCACACCAAAGGGAUGGUGCUAAACCAUUCAUGAGAAAUUCACCACAAUGAAUCAAUCACCUCCUACCAGGCUCCACCUCCAAUAUUAGGCAUUACAAUUCAACAUGAGAUUUGGGUAGGGACACAUGUCCCAACUGUAUUAGUGAUACACUGAAAGCUUUUUCUCAAAGAUCAGGAACAAGGCAAGAAUGCCCACUCUCACCACUUCUAUUCAAUGUAGAACUGGAAGUCCUAGCCGGAGAAAUUAGGCAAGACAAAUUAAAUACACACACACACACACACACACACACACACACACACAUAUAUAUAUAUGAAUCAGAAAGAAAGCAGUAAAUUUGUCCCUGUGUGUAAAUGAUAUGAUAUUACGUGGAAACUUUAGAGACUCCAUUAUUAAAAAAUCUGUUAGAACUGUAGACAAAUUCUGUAAAGCUACAGGAUACAAAAUCAACAUACAAAAUCAGUUGUAAAUUUUAUGUACUAAUAUUA
rnacentral:lncRNA from 1 species